rnacentral:tRNA from 1 species
GGGGGGAUGGCGCAGUUGGAGUGCAUUGCGCCUGAACCGGCAGGUAGUCGGUUCGAAUCCGGCUCCCUCCA